CCUACGUCACGAAGCUGGCGUGAACAGCGUGAAAGCGCACACAGAACACUACAUUUAACGCUACUUUGGCCGACUUCACCAGCUCGUGGACACUUCCGUGAUAAAAGCAUGAAUACAUCAAUGGCGGUGUUAAGACUAAGGCGUUUCUGCUUGUUUGAUGGGUAGCCAGUCGGCAGGUUGCGUCAUCUUUUCGUUCGAGAUGGGACUCCAUGUUUUGCUGUACUGGCCGAAUAUUAUUGGAUACAUUAGAAUUGGCCUUGUACUUGCGGCAUGGGCUGCCUUUGAGACACCAGCAGUAUUUGUUUCUCUUUACUCAAUCUUCAUAGCACUUGAUGGAGUGGACGGCUGGCUGGCGAGGAGGCUUUGCCAGAGCUCCAGGUUUGGAGCUUGGCUGGAUGUUGUGGUGGACAACUUGGGCAGAGGCAUGCUGUGGAGCCUGCUGUUUAAGUGGGGUUGGCUGGUGUUUGCUUUGGAGUGGUGUGUGCUUGUGUGUAACCACAAUGCCAGAGGUGACCAGUGGAAGAGCAGUUUCAUCACCAGCCCUCAACUCAUACAAGCUAUCAUGGCAAACGGGUUUCGAACACCUCUUGGCACGUGGGUGGUGAGCGGAUUGCACGGCCUCCCCCUGUGGCUGUAUGGGUGCCAGUGGGGUUUACUCACUCACUGGCUGUUUGUACCUCCAUGGAUCCAGGCUCUGGGGACCCUGCUGCUGGCUGCAGGCCGCCUGCUGGCUCUAUCAGUGGAGAUAUGGUGCAUAUGGACACACAUUGAAUACCUCACCAAUGAGGAGACACAGGAGGAAAAGAAUUGAAAGGCACUCAGCACAGUCAACUUCUACUGUACAUCUCCGCUGCAGCACAGAUGACCCAGCUGCUAAGGGAUGGGACCCACCCAGAAUGGUUGACACAGGGCAGGACAGACCUCCAGAGAGUAAGGCAAGUCCUGAGAAGUCAGCUGAAUGGUCAGAACAAGGUCCAAGCCAUCAACAUGUACACACUGCCAGUCAUUAGAUACCCAGCUGGGAUCAUGAGCUGGCCAAAGUAGGAGAUAGAAGCCACCGAUAUCAAGACAAGAAAGCUCCUCACCAUAGGCCCGUUUCCACCGCAGGAACUUCAAGGUAAUUUUACGGGGCUGGGGCCGUUGGUGCGUGUCUCCACGUUCUCUCCGUUCAUAGCUUCCACCGCCAUGUAAACGAAGAGACACGCCAGAAACACAGCAACCACCUCAGCUCCUAAGGAGCCCUCCUAGGGAUAAUCCCUCCUAGGGAUAAUGUAUAGUGAGCUGGUGACUGUUGAAAAAUAACUCCCAACAGGGGAAUGGAACCCCGGGAGGGAGUUAUUUUUCAACUGUCACUGGCUCACUAUAGAGGAAAUCGCCUUGUUGUUUACAAACACUUCCGAGUAGAAAACCAGCAGAGUUUAGCUGUAUCACAUUUUUCACAUCACUAUAUCACCCUUUAGACUAAUCUGAUGUUUGUAAAGUCUAUAAACACACUAGGCUCGUUCGAGAUGAACUGCGCCUCGCCUGAAAAGUAGACGAGAGCAGGCGGCCGCAGUGGGGGGCAGUGACAAAAAGCCGUGGUGAAGUCGGACAGUUUCCAGCAGCCUUCAGUCCGUACAGGAAGUCACAGACACACUUACAUCCUGUCUGGAAUGAUGUCAAUUCAUUAAAAAAGUGAUCAGACCCAUAUAUCAGUUUGUUUUCAGUCUCCAGGUGUUUUAAUUAUGAUAUAUUAAUUUAUUAAAAUGCUUUACAGGUGAUCUGUAGUUUAUGUUCAUGGUUUAUCCUCCAUUUGACAUGAACUCUCCUGUAAAUCAGCAUCGUAUCAGUUUGACCUGUCCCCUCAACUACACAGGCUAAAUAAACUGUGUUUGACUAUAAGGUUCAUACUUUCAGAGGAAAAAAAAUACAAGACAACAGCUUUCAUUAAGGCUCAGUCAGAUACAGUCAGGGCUUCACAUCUGAUGUUAUUUUAAGAAUCCUCACAUUCCAUUGACCACAAGUCUCUGUGAUGUUAAAUACUUCAAUAAUUAAAAAGUCCAGUGUUAAUAUGCAGUAGACUCUGUAUCUAAAACGUCAUCUUGUUGAGUCAACAUCUGAACCAAUCAGCUGUUAGAUCAGGUGAGAGCCAGGCGGUGCAGUCGGUGGAGAGCAACUGCAGCGCCUGGCUCUAAAAACUGUGGCCGCCUCGCUCUCGCGGUUUUAUCGCCGUCCACUUUUGUAAUACGUCAGAGCAAGUUGGGAUGAAGUUGGACACAAAACUGACCGGCAUGCGUUGUGCGCCGAUCGCUGGUGAUCGAAUCUGCGCAGGCCUGGCUCAUCUCGAACGAACCUAUUACUAUUUCUGUGUGGACGUUUCGUAAUUAAUAACAUGGUUAUCGUAGAUUAACUGGGCUAACCGUUAGCUGUUAGCCGUUAGCGGUGUCUGUAAUAACUCAAUAACUCAAUAAACGGUCCGUGAAAAAAAUAUUUUUUCCUGCGGAUAUCUUAGUUACAACAUGAUUGAGCUAGCAAAGCAGUCUUGUGUUGCUAUGUAUUCGUAUUUGUAUUAUUUAUUUGCACAGUAUUAAAACAAUUGGUAUAAAAACAUCAACAACAACAAAAAAACGAUUGUGCAGGUGAGAUGAAAAACUCCUUAAAGGGUUAUAAUUUAUCUCACCUAUAUAUUCAAUUAAACAAAAAGACAAAGAUUUAAAAUUGCCUAUAAAAUAAUCAAUACGAUACAAUAUAGUACCAAAAAUAGAAAUAUAAAGUAGAAAAGAAACAUGAAGUAGGCCAUCUAAUAAAGUCCCUAAUCAAUGCUGUGUGUGUGUGUUUUGUAUAUUUAUCAGAAAUAAGCAAAAUCGAGAACAGACAUAAAAAAACUAAUCAAAUGUACCACUCAAGGUGUGACACUAAUCUGCAUUCAAAAGAUCAUCAAAGCACCAUAGUCAAAUGCAAAGUUUAUCCUGCAUCUAAACAAUUUUAUAGUUCAUUUUGAAUAUAGAGAAACCAGAAAUUGUUUUAAAUUAUUUUAAAAUAUUGACAGAGAUGGAGAGAUAUUUACCAAGUGUAAAUACACAAUGGAGGAGUGGAGGGUGUCAGGUUUGGUGACAGGAGAAUCUCGUCCCUGUUUUUUUGGUCGGGGGGGAGGUCCUGCCUCAGGUGGAGGAGUUUAAGUACCUCGGGAUCUUGUUCACGAGUGAGGGUAGGAUGGAGCGGGAGAUUGACAGGCGGAUUGGGGCGGCGUCAGCAGUAAUGCGGACGCUUAACCGGUCCGUUGUGGUGAAGAGGGAGCGUAGCCAGAAAGCAAAGCUCUCGAUUUACCGGUCGAUCUACGUUCCAACCCUCACCUAUGGUCAUGAGAGUGAGAUCGCGAGUACAAGCAGCCGAAAUGAGUUUCCUACGCAGGGUGGCUGGGCUCAGCCUUAGGGAUAGGGUGAGGAGCUCAGACAUCCAGGAGGGACUCGGAGUAGAGCCGUUGCUCCUCCACAUUGAGAGGAGCCAGUUGAGGUGGUUCGGGCAUCUGGUAAGGAUGCCUUCCGGACGCCUCCCUUGGGAGGUGUUUCGGGCGUGUCCAACCGGGAGGAGACCUCGGGGCCGCCCCAGAACACGCUGGAGGGACUACAUCACCCGGCUGGCCUGGGAACGCCUCGGGGUUCCCGCGGAAGAGCUGACGGAAGUGACUGGGGAGAGGACUGUCUGGGCUUCUUUGCUGAGGCUGCUGCCCCCGCGACCCGGACCCGGAUAAGCGGAGGACGAGUACGAGUAAAUACACAAUGUGUGGUAUUUAUUCAGUUUUGGGAAAUCACGAUGUCUAGAAAGCAUCAGUGGCUGCAGCUGACAGGGACAGCUAACAGCAGCAGCAAAGCUAACAUCAGGAUGUCAUCUGUUAAAAGCCUCCCGUUGUCGGAUACGACAUGAAACUACUCCAGUUAGCUUAAUCAUGUUGUAACUAGACAUCCGCUGGAAAAAAUAUUUUUUUCGCAGACCGUUUAUUGAGUUACUGAGUUACUACACACACCGCUAACGGCUAACAGCAUCCCUACGCACCUACGUCGCCUGUCGCCCCGGUCAAAAUGGUCGCGCAACAAUUACGUCACAUCCAGAGCCCGGUAACUUUACAGGAACCUUUCUCCAACUCUGCUCUCUCAGUGGAGACACGGUGAUUGAGAGGGCUGAGCGAGAGAACGUUCCUGUAGUAGUUCCUGCCCCCCAAAUAGUACCAGGAACUUCUUCAGUGGAAACGGGCCUAUGCAUAGAGGGUUCCACCCCAAGUCCAGCACCCUGAGGCUAUACACUAGGUGGAAAGAGGGAGGCCGAGGACUAGUGAGUAUCAGAGCCACUAUCCACGGUGAAACAUCCAAAAUCCAGGAGAACAUCAAGAAGAUCAUCUGUAGAAGAACAUCUGUAUCCAGUAUGGACUUGAAGUACCCAAAUCCCGAUGGGCACACCUCCAAAUGUGGUUGAGAACAACAAGGCUAAGAUCCUGUGGGACUUCAGCUUCCAGACUGACAAACAGCUGCUGGCUAACCAACUAUAGUGGUGGUUGACAGACUAGAAGAAGGCAGUAGUGGUAGACGUGGCGAUACCAGCCGACAGCAACAUCAGAUAGAAGGAACACGAAAAGGUGGAGAAGUAUCAAGGGUUGAAAGAACAGCUGGAACAGAUGUGGAAGGUCAAAGUUGACGUGGUCCCCGUGGUAGUAGGAGCACUCGGGACAGUGACCCCCAAACUGGGAGAGUGGCUCCGGCAGAUUCCAGGAGCAACAUCUGAAGCAUCAGUCCAGAAGUGUGCAGUCCCAGGAACAGCUAAGAUACUGCGCAGAACCCUCUAACUCCCAGGCCUCUGGUAGAGGACCCGAGCUUGAGGAUGACACAGACACUACCCUAAGAGGGUGAGAGGGUGAUUUUACAUAAGUGAUAUAGUGAUUUUAUUAUAUAUUCUUGGUGCCUUUUGUGUUCAGUUCAAUGUUCUAUUUGUUCAAUUAAAUAAUUACCUUUAAUUUUUUUCUUUUUAAUUCAACAAGCUAUUUGUUGUAUUUCAACAGUAAACUGACAGCAGCAGAAAGGCAGAGCUGAGAACACUUUAUCUGUUUAUUAUCGCAAGUAAUUGUUGUCGUUGUCACAAUAUUCAACAAAGUUAUUGCAUAUUUCCCUCAUGUAGCCAAUGUGUAUCACAUGAUAGUAGUGGUGUUUGAGUGAGUCAUAUCUGAUAUUUACAUCUAAACACAUUAUAAUACUUGUUGAAAACAUGUGAGAUGCUAGGAACUGUGUAGCUCUGAAUUGUGGAGUUAAACCAUUGUUUUUCAACAUUUGUGUCCAGCAUUUUUUGGGCGGGGUUAACAGCCUGCUCGAUGAUGCAGUGGAGCAAGCCUUAGCAUAAGGCCCCUA